UACGGAGGGUGCGAGCGUUGUCCGGAAUCACUGGGCGUAAAGGGCGCGUAGGUGGCGCGGGCAGUCAACGGUGAAAGUUCGGGGCUCAACCCUGAAUCGGCCGUCGAUACUCCCGGGCUGGAGCACUGUAGAGGCUAAUGGAAUUCCGGGUGUAGCGGUGGAAUGCGUAGAGAUCCGGAAGAACACCGGUGGCGAAGGCGGUUAGCUGGGCAGUUGCUGACACUGAGGCGCGACAGCGUGGGGAGCAAACAGGG
rnacentral:rRNA from 1 species